rnacentral:sRNA from 12 species
ACAGGGUCGAUUCGUCCCCUGCGGAUUGCCCGGCGGGCAUAGCAGCGAAAAAACCAGGCUGAAAAGGCUGGAUGGCGAAGC